CGGGUGAGUAACACGUAUGCAACCUGCCUGCCGCAGCCGGAUAAUCGGGAGAAAUUCCGUCUAAUACGGCAUAAUGCAUCGACGGGACAUCCUGUUGGUGCCAAAGGUUGAUUCCGGUGGCGGAUGGGCAUGCGUCGCAUUAGUUAGUUGGCGGUGUAACGGACCACCAAGACGACGAUGCGUAGGGGUUCUGAGAGGAAGGUCCCCCACACUGGUACUGAGACACGGACCAGACUCCUACGGGAGGCAGCAG
rnacentral:rRNA from 1 species